rnacentral:lncRNA from 1 species
CUUAGCCACAUAAGUAUUCAGCCUCUAUGAGUAUUCACUCAAAAUUAGCCUAGAAUAGCCCUCUUUAAUUUGAUUUUGCUUCUCCAAAAAUUCAGCCUGCUGAAUCUGAACGAAGCCUGGAUCGUGAUCAACACUUAAUCUCUUUCUUUAAUCUUCUUAUUCUCCUUUUCUUUAGAGUUUCUCCUUGCUAUGUGCUGCUACCAGAUGCUAGAAA